UACGUAGGUGGCAAGCGUUAUCCGGAUUUAUUGGGCGUAAAGGGAACGCAGGCGGUCUUUUAAGUCUGAUGUGAAAGCCUUCGGCUUAACCGGAGUAGUGCAUUGGAAACUGGGGGACUUGAGUGCAGAAGAGGAGAGUGGAACUCCAUGUGUAGCGGUGAAAUGCGUAGAUAUAUGGAAGAACACCAGUGGCGAAGGCGAUUCUCUGGACUGUAACUGACGCUGAGGCUCGAAAGCGUGGGGAGCAAACAGG
rnacentral:rRNA from 1 species